rnacentral:tRNA from 1 species
UACAAUAUAGUAAGUUAUACAUUUGAUUUCCAAUCAAAGAAAGAGGUGUUAU